rnacentral:lncRNA from 1 species
ACCACUUGGAGAUUAACCUCUGCUCGCUAAGAUAAGAAAUAAAUUUUCCCCUAGGAGCUACAGAACCACCCUCUUAUUCUAUAACUGGCUCACCAAGGAACCUAAAGAUAACCUUUCGGGUCUAAUAGUCUAAGGACGCAUAACAGGAGUGUAACCAAGCCAUACCCAAAAUAACAUCAAAAUCCACCAUAUCCAGCUCAAACAGAUCCACCAAGGCCUGCUAGGCACUAACAGAU